CUUUCGGACACAAAGAAGGUGCUGCAUGGCAUGUCGUCAGCUCGUGCCGUGAGGUGUUGGGUUAAGUCCCGCAACGAGCGCAAACCCCUAAUCCUAGUGCCAGCAAGUAAAGUUGGGGACUUAGGGUGACUGCCGGCGUAAGCCGCGAGGAAGGUGGGGACGACGUCAAGUCAUCAUGGCCUUUAUGCCCAGGGCUACACACGUGCUACAAUGGCGUACACAGAGGGUAGCGAAGCCGCGAGGUGGAGCUAAUCCCAAAAACCGGCAUCAGUUUGGAGUCUGCAACUCGACUCCGUGAAGGUGGAAUGCUAGUAAUCGCAGAUCAGCACGCUGCGGUG
rnacentral:rRNA from 1 species